AUUGAACGCUGGCGGCGGGCCUAACACAUGCAAGUCGAACGAGUGGCGGACGGGUGAGUAGUGGCUGGGAAAGUGCCUGUUGGAGGGGGAUAACUACUGGAAAAGGUAGCUAAUACCGCAUACCAUCAGAUGUGCCCAGAUGGGAUUAGCUAGUUGGGGGGGUAACGGCGCACCAAGGCGAAGAUCCCUAGCUGGUCUGAGAGGAUGACCAGCCACUCUGGAACUGAGACACGGCCCAGACUCCUACGGGAGGCAGCAGUGGGGAAUAUUGCACAAUGGGCGCAAGUCUGAUCCAGCCAUGCCGCGUGAAUGAAGAAGGCCUUCGGGUUGUAAAUUACUGUCAGCGGGGAGGCGUUACCCGCAGAAGAAGCACCGGCUAACUCCGUGCCAGCAGCCGCGGUAAUUC
rnacentral:rRNA from 1 species